UUUAUGGAGAGUUUGAUCCUGGCUCAGAGUGAACGCUGGCGGCGUGCCUAAUACAUGCAAGUCGAACGAUGAAGCUUCUAGCUUGCUAGAAUGCUGAUUAGUGGCGCACGGGUGAGUAACGCAUAGGUUAUGUGCCUCUUAGUUUGGGAUAGCCAUUGGAAACGAUGAUUAAUACCAGAUACUCCCUACGGGGGAAAGAUUUAUCGCUAAGAGAUCAGCCUAUGUCCUAUCAGCUUGUUGGUAAGGUAAUGGCUUACCAAGGCUAUGACGGGUAUCCGGCCUGAGAGGGUGAACGGACACACUGGAACUGAGACACGGUCCAGACUCCUACGGGAGGCAGCAGUAGGGAAUAUUGCUCAAUGGGGGAAACCCUGAAGCAGCAACGCCGCGUGGAGGAUGAAGGUUUUAGGAUUGUAAACUCCUUUUGUUAGAGAAGAUAAUGACGGUAUCUAACGAAUAAGCACCGGCUAACUCCGUGCCAGCAGCCGCGGUAAUACGGAGGGUGCAAGCGUUACUCGGAAUCACUGGGCGUAAAGAGCGCGUAGGCGGGAUAGUCAGUCAGGUGUGAAAUCCUAUGGCUUAACCAUAGAACUGCAUUUGAAACUACUAUUCUAGAGUGUGGGAGAGGUAGGUGGAAUUCUUGGUGUAGGGGUAAAAUCCGUAGAGAUCAAGAGGAAUACUCAUUGCGAAGGCGACCUGCUGGAACAUUACUGACGCUGAUUGCGCGAAAGCGUGGGGAGCAAACAGGAUUAGAUACCCUGGUAGUCCACGCCCUAAACGAUGGAUGCUAGUUGUUGGAGGGCUUAGUCUCUCCAGUAAUGCAGCUAACGCAUUAAGCAUCCCGCCUGGGGAGUACGGUCGCAAGAUUAAAACUCAAAGGAAUAGACGGGGACCCGCACAAGCGGUGGAGCAUGUGGUUUAAUUCGAAGAUACACGAAGAACCUUACCUAGGCUUGACAUUGAGAGAAUCCGCUAGAAAUAGUGGAGUGUCUAGCUUGCUAGACCUUGAAAACAGGUGCUGCACGGCUGUCGUCAGCUCGUGUCGUGAGAUGUUGGGUUAAGUCCCGCAACGAGCGCAACCCCCUUUCUUAGUUGCUAACAGGUUAUGCUGAGAACUCUAAGGAUACUGCCUCCGUAAGGAGGAGGAAGGUGGGGACGACGUCAAGUCAUCAUGGCCCUUACGCCUAGGGCUACACACGUGCUACAAUGGGGUGCACAAAGAGAAGCAAUACUGCGAAGUGGAGCCAAUCUUCAAAACAUCUCUCAGUUCGGAUUGUAGGCUGCAACUCGCCUGCAUGAAGCUGGAAUCGCUAGUAAUCGCAAAUCAGCCAUGUUGCGGUGAAUACGUUCCCGGGUCUUGUACUCACCGCCCGUCACACCAUGGGAGUUGUGUUUGCCUUAAGUCAGGAUGCUAAAUUGGCUACUGCCCACGGCACACACAGCGACUGGGGUGAAGUCGUAACAAGGUAACCGUAGGUGAACCUGCGGUUGGAUCACCUCCUUUCUAGA
rnacentral:rRNA from 1 species